UACGUAGGGGGCGAGCGUUGUCCGGAUUUAUUGGGCGUAAAGAGCGUGUAGGCGGCCAGGUAGGUCUGCUGUGAAAACUCGAGGCUCAACCUCGAGACGUCGGCGGAAACCAUCUGGCUAGAGUCCGGAAGAGGAGAGUGGAAUUCCUGGUGUAGCGGUGAAAUGCGCAGAUAUCAGGAGGAACACCGAUGGCGAAGGCAGGUCUCUGGGCCACUACUGACGCUGAGAAGCGAAAGCAUGGGGGAGCGAACAGG
rnacentral:rRNA from 1 species